rnacentral:lncRNA from 1 species
GCAAAGCGACUGUAAAUGUACCUUAAACCUGCUUUUUUUCCCUAGCCAAUGGUGUCAGGGGCCGGCUAGCCUGUCCCUCCGGAGCAUUAACCCUUGUCGCUAGCUGGAGUGAGUGAGAAGCUGAGGUUUGGCCCUGAGGAGCCGUGUGUGUAGAUCUGGCACAGCUUUGCUCCCUUAACUCCUGGAUCUUUGUUUUGGUGGCGACCAGGGAGAGCAGGGAGCGCUGUGCUCGCAUUUCCCUCUGGCUUUUACACACGCACACACACACACACACACACACACACACACACACACAAAUCCCCCUUUCCAACUUUCUGCUUUUUGCGCUUCCCUUCCAGUUUUUUCACUUCUCAGACCUACUGGCAGCAUUUGCCGAGAUCUAGAUCCCCGUCGUGCAAAUUGUUGAAUGUUCCUAUAAGGAGCAGUGGACAAAGGCUACCAGGAAGGGUGACUACAUUAAACUGGCAAAACACAUGAGGGCUGAAAUAAGGGACUGAACCAAACCCCACUGAAAUCAAUGGGAGACUCCAUGGAGUUGGAACAGGCUCAGUGUAAAUCACUGUACAGGUACGGCACUUCCCGUCCCUUUCCGGUUUUGGUUUCGUUUAUAGUGUGUUGUUUACAGGUAACAUUCUAGAUGUAAAUUAUUUACAGGUAACAUUCUGGAUUAAAAUUUAUAGAUUUAUGUCUGGCAUAAAAACGUCUGUGUUUGGAUACAAGUGCAGAUAAAAAACCUGGACUGGUAUUGCAGAGCUGAUAGAAAUGACAUGCAAAUCACCAUAUCCAAACAAAGGUUGAUUUCAGGAUAUUUCUUAAAAUAUUGUUCUUUUAGACAAAUAUGUGUUUUUGUAGGAAUGCAGUAACUAUAGAAAAGAUUUGGUCAGUUCCUUUCCAGUUAAUUUUUUCUUCAGCCACAUGACUAAAGGUUGAAAAUUGCCCAGCUUACCAAAGCUAUAUUCCUCUUUGCCAAGGAGUAAGAGCAACGAGGGACCCCUCCUCUCUCCCGCUGCUCUCGCAGCCUUAGCAUGGUCCUGCAAAUAUAACAUAAUAAUUAAUUCACUGCUAAUAUUGGAACUUGACUGUGAAAAAGCUGUUUUCUGCUAGGAGAAUUCAAUGCAGUAAACACUGCUACAGCAAAUGGAGUGUUUCUGUUGGGAUAUGCUAUAAAUGGUGUUUAGCCGGCUCCCACUGGAGCCAUAAGUUUAGGAUCAGAUCCUGCUUAAUAUCAUAUUUCUCCUUCUCAUGAUACUUAUUGACUGUAGCAAAAAGCACAGCUAUUUAAAAAACCCUGCCCAUUAAAAAAAUAUAUGGACUUGCUUAUCGAGAAAAUCUUGGUAAUCUUGGUAUCAAGGAAUUUUUAAUUUUCUGUGCACAUUUGCAAAGGACUUAGAGACCCCUUUACAAACUUAGCCUCAUACUUAGAUACUCUCUCCUUUUUAGUUUCAUUGUGUACUGAAGAAUAGCUCAUUUAAUUAAA